CUUGCUCUCUGAUGGCGAGUGGCGAACGGGUGAGUAAUAUAUCGGAACGUGCCUAGUAAUGGGGAAUAACUAGCUGAAAGGUUAGCUAAUGCCGCAUACGACCUACGGGUGAAAGCAGGGGAUCUUCGGACCUUGCGUUAUUAGAGCGGCCGAUAUCUGAUUAGCUUGUUGGUGGGGUAAUGGCCUACCAAGACGACGAUCAGUAGCUGGUCUGAGAGGACGAUCAGCCACACUGGAACUGAGACACGGUCCAGACUCC
rnacentral:rRNA from 1 species